rnacentral:rRNA from 1 species
GACGAACGCUGGCGGCGUGCUUAACACAUGCAAGUCGAACGGAAAGGCCCUGCUUUUGUGGGGUGCUCGAGUGGCGAACGGGUGAGUAACACGUGAGUAACCUGCCCUUGACUUUGGGAUAACUUCAGGAAACUGGGGCUAAUACCGGAUAGGAGCUCCUGCUGCAUGGUGGGGGUUGGAAAGUUUCGGCGGUUGGGGAUGGACUCGCGGCUUAUCAGCUUGUUGGUGGGGUAGUGGCUUACCAAGGCUUUGACGGGUAGCCGGCCUGAGAGGGUGACCGGCCACAUUGGGACUGAGAUACGGCCCAGACUCCUACGGGAGGCAGCAGUGGGGAAUAUUGCACAAUGGGCGGAAGUCUGAUGCAGCAGCGCCGCGUGCGGGAUGACGGCCUUCGGGUUGUAAACCGCUUUCGCCUGUGACGAAGCGUGAGUGACGGUAAUGGGUAAAGAAGCACCGGCUAACUACGUG